GGUUCCGGUGAGAAACGCUUGAGGAAAGUAGAAGCCGCUAAUCCAGAAGACUGGUGGAAUGCCGUUCAAGAUCCAUCCUUGAAGAAAACGGACCCGCUGCAGCAAAUCUGACACCCAGGAGGCCAGAGGCUUCAGAGACGGAGGAACAAGGCCAAAUGAAGAAAUGACAAAAGGGGGAAAUGAGAUCCACCCACUGAAUCAUUUCCUGUGCACUGCCAACAUGCCCUUGAGCAACAAAUAAAACCAAUGGAACGGCAUGUCGAUUGACUUCCUCAUUUGAGGAUGAUAAAA